UACCAGCACCCCGAGUGGUCGGGACGAUUAUUGGGCCUAAAGCAUCCGUAGCCGGUUCUGCAAGUCCCCCGUUAAAUCCAGCUGCUCAACAGAUGGGCCGCGGAGGAUACUACAGAGCUAGGAGGCAGGAGAGGCAAGCGGUACUCAGUGGGUAGGGGUAAAAAUCCGUUGAUCCAUUGAAGACCACCAGUGGCGAAGGCGGCUUGCCAGAAUGCGCUCGACGGUGAGGGAUGAAAGCUGGGGGGAGCAAACCGG
rnacentral:rRNA from 1 species